UUUCCUCUACGAUACACAAGGGCUCUUUCUGGACUCACUUUCCAUCGCUGCCAAGCUAAUGAUGGGAGUGGAAGUUGCCCAAUUCUCACAUCAUCAACAGAUGGCUCUCCAUAUUUGGAAAAAUUUCACGUGGCACAGGAAGAAAACUGCCAGCUUCUCCAAGCAGUCUCAUGCCUGGUGGUGACCUCCUUUGCAUAUCCUAUCCGGGGUCAAGCGGAAAUUCCAAGCCCAUCAAGCCUGAGAAGGAAAUCAAGAGUUCUGCCAGGACCGCCCAGUUGAGAAAAUCGGAACAAGAUGCCUCAUGCUGUUGAUGAACUCCUAACUCUUAGAGCCUCAAGGGAAGGCAGGAAGAUGGGCCAGUAUCCCAGGCACUCCCAUGUUUGUUCUCAGCUGGGCUUUACCUCCAGAAUGUGGGAAGUUCCUGGCUGCUCUGGCAUCCACAGCUAUAAACUGCCCUGGGUCCUGUGAUUACAAUUGUGAUGGUCUCUGUCAAGAGACACAAACAUGGGGGUGGCACGGAAAGGGUACUAUGUUCUAGUCUAGCUUGCAACCAACUGUGACUGUGGGGCUUCCUUUACCUAAGACCACCCAGGGAAGGCAGCAAAAUGUCACUUCAGAACCAUUCUCAUGUUUGCCUCUGGAGCCAAUCAAGCAGGAAUUUUCUCCAUUGGACAACAUUGCAUCCACUCUGUCUGCCAAGCCACCUUAAAAUGUAGGUGAUCAUCACCUUUGAUGGAGUCUGCUGUGCUUUCAUUAGCACCAAUCUUAAUUUAGGGGUGACUAUAUCCACUUAAUCAGCAAACAUUGAGUGAGUGAUUGCUAACUUACAUGCCAAAGAAUGUGAAAUGGUUUCUACUCUGCAGAAGGAUACAGGGAAAUAUAAAAUAUUUUCUCUACUAUAAAAUUUUUAAUUAUUAUUA